CGAGCAAUCUGCCCUUCUCAUCGGAAUAAGCGUUGGAAACGACGUCUAAUGCCGAAUACGACCUCCUUUCGCAUGAUCGGAGGUGGAAAGCUCCGGCGGAGAAGGAUGAGCUCGCGGCCUAUCAGCUAGUUGGUGUGGGUAAUGGCCCACAAGGCGACGACGGGUAGCCGGCCUGAGGAGGGCGACCGGCCACACUGGGACUGAGACACGGCCCAGACUCCGUACGGGAGCAG
rnacentral:rRNA from 1 species